rnacentral:rRNA from 1 species
CUCAACCUGGGAACGGCAUCCGGAACUGUCAGGCUAGAGUGCAGGAGAGGAAGGUAGAAUUCCCGGUGUAGCGGUGAAAUGCGUAGAGAUCGGGAGGAAUACCAGUGGCGAAGGCGGCCUUCUGGACUGACACUGACGCUGGGGUGCGAAAGCGUGGGUAGCAAACAGGAUUAGAUACCCUGGUAGUCCACGCCGUAAACGAUGUCGACUAGCCGUUGGGGUCCUCGAGACCUUUGUGGCGCAGUUAACGCGAUAAGUCGACCGCCUGGGGAGUACGGCCGCAAGGUUAAAACUCAAAUGAAUUGACGGGGGCCCGCACAAGCGGUGGAGCAUGUGGUUUAAUUCGAUGCAACGCGAAGAACCUUACCUACCCUUGACAUCGUGCGGACCAUCCAGAGAUGGAUGGGUGCCUUCGGGAGCGC